rnacentral:tRNA from 1 species
GGGGGUAUAGCUCAGCAGGGCAGCUUGUGCUUAGUAGGCAUGAGGCCCUGGGUUUAAUUCCAUGUACCCCCC